ACGUCUAACAAAAGAGCAAGCCCAAACACAAAAAUACAUGUACCUAGCCCCUGACUUCAAGCAAAAUCAAAAAAAGAAAAAAAAAAACCCUAAAAAAUGUCUAUAAAUAAGGAAAGACGAAGAACACGGCAUAUUGAUUUAGGGGAAAACAAUGAGAGUCGGCUGCUUUCACUUCUGUCUGUUCAACGAAAGCACUGGCUCAUUCUUGAAGAAAGAGAGCCUGAAAUGGCAUCCGUACGCUAUCAAGCAGUAACAUGGAAGGUCUAAAAGGGUUGCGCAGGUAGAGAUUGUGAUGUAUGUUUCCAACUGGACUGUUACAAUUUUUAGAAAUCAACAUUAUAUGUCUGCAUUCAAAACACUUGUUUGCCCUAAUUUGCACAUAGCAUCAAUGUUUGUUGAAAUUCCAGUACGAGAGCCAGUUUAGGCAUGCUUGAAAUUUGACCAUCGUUCCCUCUGAAUUUUGUAUUCAAUACUAAAGCCCUCCCUUUUUAGUGGUAAAA